GAGGGUCUAGCUCAAGUGGUAGAGCUCAUGCUUAGCAUGCACGAGGUCCUGGGUUCAAUCCCCAGUACCUCCU
rnacentral:tRNA from 1 species